rnacentral:rRNA from 1 species
AUUGAACGCUGGCGGCAUGCUUUACACAUGCAAGUCGAACGGUAACAGGCCGCAAGGUGCUGACGAGUGGCGAACGGGUGAGUAAUGCAUCGGAACGUGCCAGUCGUGGGGGAUAACGCAGCGAAAGUUGCGCUAAUACCGCAUACGAACUAUGGAUGAAAGCGGGGGACCGUAAGGCCUCGCGCGAUUGGAGCGGCCGAUGUCAGAUUAGGUAGUUGGUGGGGUAAAGGCUCACCAAGCCGACGAUCUGUAGCAGGUCUGAGAGGACGACAGGCCACACUGGGACUGAGAAACGGCCCAGACUCCUACGGGAGGCAGCAGUGGGGAAUUUUGGACAAUGGGCGCAAGCCUGAUCCAGCAAUGCCGCGUGCAGGAAGAAGGCCUUCGGGUUGUAAACUGCUUUUGUACGGAACGAAACGGUCCUGGUUAAUACCCGGGACUAAUGACGGUACCGUAAGAAUAAGCACCGGCUAACUACGUGCCAGCCGCCGCGGUAA